GACGAACGCUGGCGGCGUGCUUAACACAUGCAAGUCGAACGGAAAGGCCCUGCUUUUGUGGGGUGCUCGAGUGGCGAACGGGUGAGUAACACGUGAGUAUCCUGCCCUUGACUUUGGGGUAACUUCAGGAAACUGGGGCUAAUACAGGAUAGGAGCUCCUGCUGCGUGGUGGGGGUUGGAAAGUUUCGGCGGUUGGGGAUGGACUCGCGGCUUAUCAGCUUGUUGGUGGGGUAGGGGCUUACCAAGGCUUUGACGGGUAGCCGGCCUGAGAGGGGGACCGGCCACAUGAGGACUGCGGGACGGCCCAGACUCCUACGUGAGGCAGCAGGGGGGAAUAUGGCACAAUGGGCGGAAGCCUGAUGCAGCGACGCCGCGUGCGGGAUGACGGCCUUCGGGGUGUAAACCGCUUUCGCCUGUGACGAAGCGUGAGUGACGGUAAUGGAUAAAGAAGCACCGGCUAACUACGUG
rnacentral:rRNA from 1 species